rnacentral:lncRNA from 1 species
ACCAAGAACAUCCACUUGAUUUUAUCUCUACGGUUUGCCAUCAAACAAAUAAACAGAAGCAUUAAUAUUUUACCAAACAUUUCUCUGAUAGUUAAAGCUAACUGUGUCAAAAAGGAAGAUCUACUACAAAUAAUUACCAUGUUCUCAAACAGGGAUGCAAUUAUUCCUAACUAUAGUUGUAAACAUGGAAGAAGAUUGUUAACUGUACUUACAGGACCACGGUGGCAUUCAUCUGUGAUGCUUGGGCCACUCCUAUACAUCUUUGCAAAUACCACAGGUGAGAUUACAUGGGGUCGUAGUGAAACUCUAUACUAUGGGCCAUUUCAUCCUCUCCUAAGUGACCAGGAACACUAUCCUUAUCUGUACCAGAUGUCUCCAAAGGACACAUUUCUGGCCCUUGCCAUGAUGGCUUUGGUGGUCCAUUUUAGCUGGAAUUGGGUGGGACUAGCCAUUUCAGAUGAUGAACCAGGCAUUCAGUUUCUCUCUAUGUUGAGAGGAGAGAUGCACAAACACAGAGUCUGUUUAGCCUUUGUGAAUAUUGUCAUAAAAAAUGUACAAUUAUACCAGAAAAGAGCUGAAAAGUAUUAUAACCAGAUCAUGAUGUCAUCAGCCAAAGUUAUAAUCAUUUAUGGGGACUCAGAUACUCUAAGUGCAUAUUUUAGACUGUGGCAACAUUUAAGCAUUAAGAGACUCUGGAUCACCACCUCACAGUGGAAUGGGGACACAAGUGAAGGAGACUUCCUUCUUACCUCCUUUCAUGGGAUUUUCAUUUUUUCACAUGCCCAUUCUGAAAUUCCUGGUUUUAAAAAAUUCAUCCAGACAGUGCAACCUUCUAACUACAGUAAAGCUACUUCCCUUGCUAGAUUAUGGUGGAUGUAUUUUAACUGUUCAUUGCCGUCUCAUUGUAAGAGACUGAAAAAUUGUUCAACCAAUAUCCUACUAGAAUGGUUAUCCAGGUACCAGUUUGAAGUGUCCAUGAGUAGGCCAAGUUACAAUCUAUACAAUGCUGUCUACACUGUAGCCUAUGCACUUCAUGAAAUUCUUCAGAGUGCUGCAAGGUGCUUAUCUUACUACUGGAAGAAAAGAGAAAUCAUCAAUUUCUCCCAAAUGGUUCAUUUCUUGGAGAAUAACAAAUUUAUAAAUCCUUCUGGAUAUCAAUUCAACAUGAAUCAUAAAGGAAAAUUGGGUACAGAAUAUGACAUUCUCUAUGCCAUGAAUCUUCUACCAACUCUUGGACGUAAUGUGAAAAUAGGAAAGUUUUUCCAACAUUUUCUGCAUAGUCAGCAAUUAUAUAUAACUGAAGAUAUGAUAGAGUGGGAUGCACAUAUUAGAAAGACACUACCUUCAGUCUGCAGUAUGCCCUGCAGUUUAGGAUUCCGAAAAUUGCUUCUGAAAGGAAAGGCUAUCUGUUGUUUUGAUUGUAUCCCGUGUCCAGAGAAUGAAAUUUCCAACAUGACAGACAUGGAUCAAUGUGUGAAGUGUCCAAAUAGUCAGUAUGCCAACAUAAAACAAAGUCGCUGCCUAAAGAAAGUUUUGACCUUCCUGGCUUAUGAAGACCCCUUGGGAAUGGUUCUGGCCUCCUUGGCCCUGUGCUUCUCUGCUCUCACAGCUGUUAUACUUGGUAUCUUUUUGAAACACCAAGACAAUCCCAUUGUCAAGGCAAAUAACCGACUUCUCAGUUACAUUCUGCUCAUCUCUCUCAUAUUUUGUUUUCUUUGUUCCUUGCUCUUCAUUGGCCAUCCCUAUACGGCUACCUGCAUCCUGCAGCAAGCCACAUUUGCAGUUGUUUUCACUCUAGCAGUUUCCACUAUUUUGGCUAAAACAAUUACUGUAGUAAUGGCAUUCAAGAUCACUGAUCCAAGAAAAAAGAUAAGACAGAUGUUAGUAACAAGAGCACCUAACUAUGUCAUUCCCAUCUGCACCAUGAUCCAACUUAUUCUCUGGGCAACCUGGCUAGGAACAUCUCCACCAUUUGUUGAUACUGAUCCACACUUUGAACAUGGCCACAUCAUCAUUGUCUGCAACAAGGGUUCAGUUAUUGCCUUCUUUUUUUUUUUUUUUUCGGUUCUAAUUUGUUUUUUAUUUCCAGUGCCAGUCAUUUUUUUUCUGAUCAUUUUCACUUUUCAUUUAACUGUGUCACUUUUAUCUGUUGCUGCUUUUAUCUCUUUCCAAAGCUGA